rnacentral:misc_RNA from 1 species
UCCGCCCUUUUCUCUCUAAAAGCUCCACCCUUUUAUCUAUAUGCUUCACAAUCACAUUUCAACUCCCCAAACUCUGCCUUCCUCCUUCUUUCCUUAUCCAUCUAACAGAGACGUAGCCACCGGUCCUUGCAUUUCCUGGUGACCAUGUCUCAGUCACUUCAUUUCUUCACUCCAACAACUCGCUCCCCAAACUUUACUUUCCCUAAACCCUCUCUCCCAGCCUCCAAUUGCCUGUUCUCGAUCACUUUCUGGCCUAAAUCUAUCUCCGUCAAGGCAUCAGCUUCAUCAGAUUCUAACUCUGCCCCAUCAUCUCAAGUCUUCGUUUCCAAUAAUGGCACAGGAGGAGGCGUGUUGGCGCCGGAGUAUAGUUCCUUGGCAGUGGCUGAUGUGAGUUCGAUCGAAGUGGAUGCGGUGACGGAGGCGGAAUUGAAGGAGAACGGAUUUAGGAGCACGAGGAGGACCAAGCUCGUUUGCACGAUAGGUCCGGCCACAUGCGGCUUCGAGCAGCUGGAGGCGCUAGCGGUUGGAGGCAUGAACGUGGCGAGGAUUAAUAUGUGUCACGGCACCCGCGAGUGGCACAAGAGCGUCAUUGAGCGAGUUAGGAGGCUGAAUGAGGAGAAAGGUUUUGCUGUGGCUAUUAUGAUGGAUACUGAAGGGAGUGAGAUUCACAUGGGCGAUCUCGGUGGAGCUUCUUCUGCCAAAGCCGAGGAUGGUGAGAUCUGGACUUUUAGUGUCAGAGCCUUUGACUCACCUCGUCCAGA